rnacentral:tRNA from 1 species
UGCGGCAUUGUGUAAUGGUAGCACAGCAGACUCUGACUCUGUUUGUCUGGGUUCGAAUCCUAGUGCCGCAGCCA